AACGGAAUCGAGUGUACGGUUAGGGGAAGUUGCGAGGAGUGGGAGGCUGAUAUGCGUGUGUUAGUUGGUUCAAUCGAACCAACUAAUCGGGAGCUCGCUGCCGCUGCUACGGUCGGUCCCCUGGUUUAUACUAGGCACUCGCUCGAAGCGCCUGGUGCCUGGGCUCGGGCGAGCGCUUAGGCAAGUGCCCGAGCGCCUUUUUAAAUCAUUGGUCUAAACUAGCUCCUAUCGUAUAAUAAGUUGGAGGCUUCAACUUUGGACCAUGUGAGAAAAGUAUUGAAAUGAUCUAAAACCAAUUAUAACAUUAACACUCGGUGCUUGUGUCCUACCCUAAGCCGCAAGGCUCAAGCGCCUUUAAUUCAUCCUAGGCGAGAGAUUUUGCACAAGUGUCACUUUGACAUGCACCUAGGCGCAUACAUGGCAUGUGCUUGAAACCAUAUCACCUCUGCCCUGGAGCCCGCACAACACCUCUAUUAGCAACCCUAGUCAUCUUGCAAUUGUUAUCCUUUGGUGAUCAACAACACAUGACAAUGUUGACAACAAUGGAUAACCAAAACGAUGAUCAACAACCAACAUGGCUGUGCCUCCCCUCUCGCAAUUGACAACAUGCAACAGUACCUCCCUCCUUCCAUCGUAGGUACCUCUCACUCUCUUAGCUCUCUCCCUCAACCCUUCUUCGAUCACUUUCUCUCAAUUGGGUGAUACAACCCCGCAUUCGUCUACCUACUAGUCAUGAUAGUACAAUAUCACCUCUCAGUGAUUUAAAAAGCGCUAGGCGCCAAGAUCCAAAAAUGCCCGAGGCGCUAAGCGCUUGCUCAAGCGAAGCGAGAUGCUAAAAUAUAAAAAUAUAUAAUAUAAUUAAUAAAUAUAAUUAUUUAAAUAAAAAUAUGAUAUUAAAUUUAAAAAAUCUUACAAUAUCACAUUAACAAAAAAAACUCAAAAUUUAAAACAAUAACAAUAAUUUCAAAUAAAUAAAAAUUAACAGUAUUAAAAUCAAAAUAAUAUAUUAUUAAUCUAAUAAAUAAAAAAAAUAUUGUUACUAGUAUACAAUUAACAGUAUACUGUUAAUAUACUGUUAACAAUAUACUAUUGAGUCGAUGUAAGAAGAGGUAGCAGCGAAUAGCGGGAGCAGGAGAGGCGAGCGACGACAAUGGCAGCGGUAGCAGCGGGAGCGGCGCGCAACGAUAGUGGCAGCGACAGCGGUAGCAACGAGCAACGGGAGCGACGAGCGGUGAUAGUGGCAACGACAGCAAUAGCGACGAGCAGCGACAGCAACAGGAGCGGGAGCGGCGAGCGACGAUAGUGGCAACGGUAGCAGCUGCAGCAAUAGUAGUAGCAGCGAGCAGCGGGAGCGGGAGCGACGACAGUGGCAACAGCAGCGACGAGCAAGGUUAGGGUUGGGUUAGUCACGAGAGGGAUGUUGGGAGGCUGAUAUCGGUGCUUCAGUUGGUUCAAUCGAACCAACUGAAGCAUCGAAGACCAAACCAAAUGUAAAACACUAGUUCGAUCGCCUGGUUUAACCCGGGCACUCGCCCGAAGCGCCCGACGCCUGGGCUCGGGCGAGCGCCUAGCGAUGCAUCUUUGAAGCGAGGCGCCUAGACAUAAAGCGCGGCGCUCGGGCCUCGCCUCUCCCGAGCGCCCGAACGCCUAUUAAAAUCGCUGCCACUUCUCUUAUCUCUUUUGAUAGUAAGCCCCCUUCUCUUUUUUCCUCCUCCCCUCUUCUAUGUUUCUUCUGAUGGCAAACCCCUCCUACCGACGUCACCACGUACAUGUCUCAAACACCAACACCAUACCCUCUAAUUCGUCUUCUAGGACCUUGUCUCUUAGGCCCUAGCCCAACACCCCCUAAUCCCUCUUGUUUGUCUUAAUCUUUCCAUCGCACAACAUGCAACAGUACCUCCCUCCUUCCUCCGUAGGUACCUCUCACUCUCUUAGCUCUCUCUCCCUCAACCCUUCCUCGAUCACUUUCUCUCAAUUGGGUGAUACAACCCCACAUUCGUCUACCUACUAGUCAUGAUAGUGCAGUACCACCUCUUCUCUAUCUCUUUUGAUAGUAAGCCCCCUUCUCUUUCUUCCUCCUCCCCUCUUCUAUGUUUCUUCUGAUGGUACAACCCCUCCUACCAACGUCACCACGUACCUGUCUCAAACACCAACACCAUACCCUCUAAUUCGUCUUCUAGGACCUUGUCUCUUAGGCCCAAACCCAACACCCCCUAAUCCCUCUUUUUUGUCACAACCUUUCCAUCGCCACCCCCUCCCCCUUUUUCCUUCUUCCCCUCCCUCUCUUCAUCUUUAGCACCUCCCUCUUCUACACCUCAAGGACCCCUUCUCUCUUUUCUCAUGCAGCCCCCUACCCAAAUAUUGUUGUUAGCAAUCUAUUUAGAGGCGAGAGGCACUAAAGGCACCAAGGUGUCAAAACACCCGAGGCACUUGGAGCUCACCCAAGCAAAGUGAAGAACCCCCCGAAUACUAAAAUUAAUAUAUAUAUAUAUAUAUAUAUAUAUAUAUAUAUAUAUAUAUAUAUAUAUAUAAUGAUUAAUAAACAUAAUCACUUAAACAAAAAAUGAAACAACAAAUUGGAUUUAUUUAAAGUACCAAAUUAUAUUAUUUAAUUAUAUAUUAAUAAAACAAUUAACGUAGGAGGAUGAAGAGGGUGUUAUCGAGUCAAUUGGGAGGGGAGUUAGGAUGAAGAAUCAAGGAGAGGGAGGAGGUAUGGGAGAGAAUUGCCAUCAGUUGGGGUGGUUGUCUAAUUAUUGUUGAUUGGGUCACUGUCAGUUGGAUGACUGUGGGUUGUUGUCAAUUAGGAGGGGAAGAGGGAGGGAGGGGAGCUAUCGAGGAGGAUGUCGAGGGUGUUAGGGGCGGCUACAACGAAGCGAAGGGGUAGAAGACACUAAUCGUUGGAUGAAAGGACGAUAAAGAGGAAGCCAUCAACGUAGGAAGGAGAAGGGAAGACGCCGGCACAGGGAGGAGGUUGUCAACGCACAAAGGGGGAAGGCGGUUGCAAUGAGGCAAAGAGGGGACAUUGGCGACGGGGAAAGAAAGAGACAGAGGAAGACACUAACCGAGGGGGAGAAGAGCGCUAUGGUGAAGGGGGAAAGGGCGAGGAGAAGGCGCUAGCGACGAGAGCAGACCGAGCAAUAACAAAGGAAAGAGGUACCGACAACAAGCCUACUGGAGGAAGACGUUGCUACAACCUCCAUUCGCUAAACAAACAAAGAGAGGAAGAGUCAUUGUUCGCCAACUAGCUUUCCAUGAGUGUCUCGUGGCGUGCAUGUGUGUGUGAAGAUUCAUUGAUCUAGUUCGAUCAAACCAGAUCCAGUGAACUAGGUUGGUCCUAGAUCCAAUGAUCUAGCUUGCUCUUGCCCAAUUUGAAUCAAGCGAGCCACUCAACGCCUGGGCCCAAGCACACACCUAGAUUGCACCCAAGUGAAGGCGCCAACCUAGCUCACUUAUCGAGCGCUCAAGUCGCGCCUAGCCUAGCCUAGGCGAGUUCCUGUUAACUUAACUUAUUGUUAGCCCCUACCCCUUAUUGUCAUCAACUCUACAGCCUUCCCAUCCUCUCAACCACCCACUUAGCCUCUUGUUCGUAGCCCUCCAGUUCUUAGCCAUAUGGUGAAGGUUGGUGGCAGAGGGAUAGGAUAUGCCAACGAUUGGGGAGAAGAGCACUACGACGAAGGGGAAAGAGCGAGGGGAAGAUGUUGGCAAUUGUGAUGAAGUGGGUGAUAACGAAGUAAGAGAGAGAUACCGACGAUGAACCCACCA
rnacentral:lncRNA from 1 species